rnacentral:rRNA from 1 species
GACGAACGCUGGCGGCGUGCCUAAUACAUGCAAGUCGAACGCUGAAGGCGGAGCUUGCUUCUCUGGAUGAGUUGCGAACGGGUGAGUAACGCGUAGGUAACCUGCCUGGUAGCGGGGGAUAACUAUUGGAAACGAUAGCUAAUACCGCAUAGUAGUAGAUGUCGCAUGACAUUUGCUUGAAAGUUGCAAUUGCAUCACUACCAGAUGGACCUGCGUUGUAUUAGCUAGUUGGUGAGGUUACGGCUCACCAAGGCAACGAUACAUCGCCGACCUGAGAGGGGGGGCGGCCGCACUGGGACUGAGACAGGGCCCAGACUGCUACGGGAGGCAGCAGGAGGGCAUCGUCAGCAAGCGACGGAAGUCUGAGCGAGCAACGCGGAGGGAGUGAAGAAGGUCGUCGGAUCGUAAAGCUCGGUUGUAAGAGAAGAAAGCGUGUGAGAGUGGAACGAUCACACUGUGACGGUAUCUGAUCAGAAAGGAACGGCUAACUACGUG